rnacentral:lncRNA from 1 species
AUUUGUGUAAGUAAGCAUUUUAUUCAAAAUAACUUUAUAAAAGUAGUAGUUUAGAAUCAACGGUGUAUUAGAGUCCUUUCCAGAAAAUCCUAUAUUUUCUAAAUGAAAGCAGUCUUCUACCAAGACUCGACACAGUUAUGUUUUAAAGAGUAAUUUUCCCUGAAAUAUUAUCGUUACCAAAAUACGAUAUUUGAUUUUUAAGAAAGUAGGAGAAUAUCACGAGUAAAAACAUUAGGGAAAAUAACAUAUGCCUCAGUAGAGAAAAUUGCUGACUAAGGCAAAAGAAAUCAUAGACUCCAGGAGAGUAUCAAAUGAAUGAUAUGUUAGCUCAGUCUAACAAAAGGGAAUACAGACCCCAUACGGUAUCAAAUGUGCGAUACGACUAGCAAGGUCUAAAACAAAAAAGCACAGACCCCAGACAGUAUCAAAUGAAAGAUACAGCUAGCAAGGUCUAAAACAAGGAAACACAUACCCCAGACAGUAUCAAAUGAAAGAUACAGCUAGCAAGGUCUAAAACAGAGAGACUCAGACCCCAGACAGUAUCAAAUGAAAGAUACAGCUAGCAAGGUCUAAAACAAAGAGUGAUCCUAAGAGUGUUGUUUCAGAAAUACAGUGUUAAUUCUCGUUACCUUAAGGCCAUGAAUUAUAAGGUAAACAUGGAUAUACUCGUAACCAUAUUGAUUGACACUAGAGUACUUGACGUCGUGCAAGCGUCGGAAUAAAUAUGACAUUUGUCACCCCUUGGCUUGGUAGGCCGUGGACUGUAGCUAGCAGUCAGGGUGCGGGAGUGUCAGUCCCGUAUAGAUCUAUACACACAAUGCCCGCUCUCCCUACAGGAGACUCUGGUUACCAACUCGAAAACGGGGAGAUCCGUGUCUUGAAGAUGCAUCUCGGAUUCUGAAUUCUAUUAGAGGCGCUGGAGAAAUGAUAUAGACUCGCGUGUGAACUGACUCCUAUGGAAUUAUCGUACUAGAAAGAGUGAAUAGAGCUUCCUAACAAUUCCUAUAAUAGUUACUAGUGUCCCUGAUCUAUGAGUGACGAGUGGUAGGAUGCCCUUGCUACCCAAGGAACAUGAACUGGCCGAUGGAAACCUUUAUGUCUAUACAUGUAUACAUGAUAUAUAAUUAAUGAUUAAGCGACCUUCGGACGGAUAUCCGAUCCCACCAGACCACAUCCAAACGAGGAAAAGGAAAUAGGGCAAACUAGCCUUCCUAAGUCCUUUAAACAUUUUUUUAUAAAACUAUACAAGUACAAGCAUGCAUUUAACAAGAUAGAAGCAUUUAACGAAGUAGUAGCAUCAACGAAGUAGAAGCAUUAAUGAAGUAGUAGCAUUAACGAAGUAGAAGCAUCUAACAAAGUAGAAGCAUUUAACGAAGUAGAAGCAUUUAACGAAGUAUAAGUAUAGAAGCAUAGAAGAAAACUUUGACGAAAACUUUGGAAAACCUUUACACUUAAGAAAAUUGUGACUUGUUAUCCUUUUGUAAAAUAGGCUUGAAGAUCUUUGGAAAUCCUUUGAGAACCGUUCAUAAACAAGUUUAAAUGAAAUUUUGAUAAAACAAUAUAAGUAAAGAAAACCUUUGUUUAAAAUCCUGCUGUAUCUGGUUUUGAAGUAAAACAUACAGCGUGAGAGACAAUUUGAGAAAAGGUGUACACAAGUAAAAACGUUUUGGAAAAAAACCCUUUAUAGUGUCAUACUUGGUAAAACAGCUGACAGUGUAAUAAAUCCUUGUGCAUGCGGGUUAUCAAUCGCAUAUGAUUGAUAUGAUAACUAGCAUGUUUUAACUUGUAUUCCCCCCCCCCCCAUAAAAGCAUGUGAAAACAUUUAAAAGGUUAAUUCAUGGGUAUGAACUCACCUGUCGUAAGUGGAUCGGGUGAAGGUGCCGGUUGGGUGCUCGGUGUCAAAUAAAGACUUGAACACACUUAGUGACCUAUUAACAUAUGAUGACAUAUGUUUACAUACAAUUAGUAAAUAUAAUACUAAUUAAACAUGUAUACGCAUCCUAAAGUGCGGAAAACACUUUGGUUAAGUGCUAGGAGUGUCCCGAGUAACAUCUAAGGGAGUGUAUGGCCUAGGUAGGGAGUUUACUCUUCAAGAGUAAACUCUUUAUAGAGUUUAAGUCCCUAAGACCAUAUCCCCAUGAGUUUACGGCCAUAAACUCAUGUUGGGGGUGUUCUAGGAUGCUUUAAGGUCUUAUCUCACUCGUAGAAUUAGGCUAGGUCCAAUUAUAAGGCAUAUAAAGGGGUUUAAGGCUCUAAAUGGACCUUUUGAGGAGUUUACGGCCCUAAACAAGGAGUUUACGGCCGUAAGCAUCUAUAUGCACAUUCCUUUUGUGUAUUAAGGUCUUAAAUGGUAGAGAAUAAAGUUCUAUGCAUUUUUCCAAGUCCAAUGAAGAAGUUAGGGCAUCAUUUGGGCACUCUUUGGGAGUUUACGGUCCAUAGACCAAUCGUAGGGGGUUUACGGUCGUAAACUCCUAUGUCCAAUGAUUCUUUAAUGUUCAAAGCCCCUAUAUCAAUUGUGGUGAAUUUUAGACAUUUUUCCAGGCCAUAGGGGUGUUUGUGGGCAUUUCUAACACCUUUAUAGGUGUUCACGGCCUAUGAAGAGGGGUUUAUGGUCCAAGAGUGUUCUUGGGCCGUAAACUCAAGUUUACUCUCCAUAUCAUAAGGUUUUAGUGUUCUAAGCUCGAAGGUGUAAGUCCACAAGUCAUAUCUAAGCCUUAGGGGUAGUUUAGAGUUGUUUUGGGGCUUAAAAACCCCACUUAAGGGUGUUCACGGUCCAAGAGUGUUCUUGGGCUGUAAACACAUAAUAUUGCCCCUAUUUGAUGUCUUAAACACGAGUUUUCAUGUUAACUAAGCUACACAACAAGUUAGGAUAGAUUACUUACUAGUUUGGAGCUCGGAAUGGGCGUUUUUGGGUCGAAAACAAGUUGUAAAGAGAGAGUGUGUAGUGAGAGAGUGGAAAGUGUCAAAUGGACUCCACUCACCCUUAUAUAGGGGUUUAAGUUGGGGCUCAGUGGAAAUCUACCCAAUACUGACGUUAAACGGGGCUUUUGGUCGCACCCGAUUAAAUGGUCGUAUUUUGACUUGGUUGAAACUAAAAAAUUUUCAAGGGAUUAAUGAGGGUGUUUCUAAUUUGUUUCAACCCUUACUAAGUCAUUAUAAAAGCCCUAAAUUAAUUAGCCAAUCCAAAAGGUUAACGGACAUUUAAUAAAGUGAGGCUUAUUAACGGAAGGAGGGGUUAAAAAUGACGGAAUAAAUUUCGGGUUGUCACAUCAUCCCGCCGUUAGAGGGAAUUUCGUCCCGAAAUUCAGGUUUAGGAAUGGAAGUAAUCAUAAACAAUCAGGUAGAGGUAUGAGGGUACUUCCUAUUCGGUUGGUCCUCGCACUCCCAAGUGAACUCUGGCAUGUGCUUGUCAAUCCAACAAACCUUCACUUACGGGAUGCGGAUUCCAUCUCGUGCAGUUAGCGAUUUCCAACAGGUUCGUCUACGAAGUUAGGGUUCUCAAUGGUUUCUAUCAAGAUGAGUGGGAUACCAAGAGUGGCAUCGACAAUCACUUUUCAAGUCCAAGAAGUGGAUCGAUUCGGGGUGAAACUUAUGGAGUUUCCGAAAGUAGUAGUGGUCUGACGGGGGUUGGACAAAAUUUUGUGAAGAAUCUCGGAUGGUCCUAAGCUCUCAGAAGGGUAGAGCUUUUCAGUACUUAGAACAUAGUGUACUUCUAUGGCGAGAUCAUCACUGGCGUGAUCGCUAUUCCGAAGUUCCAAACGUUCUCUCAUACUGGGGGUGUAGUCCUUCAGGUUUGUUCUUAGAAAACUCGGGUUGUCCUUGAAUUCGUGGUUCCUACUGAUUGGCUUUUAGAGGUUUUCUGGAUCAUCGGAUGGAUUGCAUGUCUACGGGUAUCUGUUUGCUGUAGGGUGGCUAUCUCAAUUUGUGCAAAAUGAACCUGCACUUCUGAUUCUUGAGAUGUUUCUAACGGAAACUCUCAUGGUCGGGGAGAUAGGGUUUCACCAGACGGGUGCUUAGAAAGUUUUUUAAACUUCCGAUCAUCGUCUAGUUGGCGCUUUCACGACAUGAUUCUUAUCGGGAAAGGAUCAUGCUCUUACUUGCCUUGCUGUUUCAUGAAUAGCAAGCUCUGAUUAGGGCUAACUCAAUCCUUAGAGAUUUUCCGAAGUGUUGGACUAUCUCGGGAGGUGGUUUUACUAUUCCUGCGCGAUAUAGUAUUCUCGGAACACCUAUUAGUCCAGUGAAUCUCUAAGUCCUGCCCUAUUCUCUAAGGCAUUGGUUUAUUUAAGUUGCAGGCAGUGCGUGCUCUUGUAUAAGCCAUCGACUAACACCUAGACUGGUGUCAAGUCUAUAAUCUCUUCCGGAUCUGGGUUAUAAGGCUUAACACAACCUACUUUCGCACUUUAGUCUAGUAUUCUUGGCUGCGGAGGUUAUCCUGUGGUUCUUGGCAUUCUAGUGUUCACUUCGGAGAAUGCAGUCUAUCGUCUAUAGGGCGAUGGUGACUUCCUCCACGUAAGGGGGCGGAGUGUCCUAGGCACUACUCGUCAGUAACGGGGAGGACGAAAUGCCUGAGCAGUGCGGACAUCUUCUGCAACUACUCUUCUGAAGGUUCUGAGUUUUCUCGAUCUAGGUCAAAUCUAGUGAGUAUAGGGUUCCAUCACUCGGAACUUUAAUCUUCUCAUCCACUCUUCUCAGAUUUUAACUUAUCGUAGUUUCUAGGGUUCCGGGAUAUCCGCUGAGAUGCUUAAUUCGGGGAAUUAAGCGUGAAUGGGUGGUCGUAGUCAAUGUCCUUGACUCUGAUGACUCAGAUUUCCUUACCAACUGAGGGUGUUAGCUACUAUGUUGUCUUAACCGGGAUGACAACAAUUUUGGAUUUUUGGUCAUUAUAGUAGCUCAACCCAUAGUGUUUCUCUUGACUCUAGCUCCUAUUUUAUGGAAUAGGAUGAAGCGUUUUACUAUGAGGUUCGUGGUAGAGCUCAUACUCGGCUUAACCACUAAUACUUGGUGUAUGCAAGCCGUAUAUAAUUGAGGUCGGCAGGAUGUUCAGUUGUGCGACUCCACCCCAGACCCACAACCCAACGAGGAACAGGGAGUAGGGAGGAAGCACACAUCUUAAAUCUUUUUGAUCUCAAUUAUAUACCACCCUUAAGCAUAUACUCAGUUAUACUAGUCGGUCCCAUGAGUUCUAUCUUCUUGAUUCACGAACCUGAUUGUGAGGUGCGAAGGUCUUUCUGGGGGAUCUACGGAGUGUGCUUCGGGUGGUUAUCGUCUUCUGGAAUACCUGCAGUGUCUUUCACUUCGGUUUCUAUCUGUCUAAGAAAGGUUGGUUAACAGCACACGGUACCCUUCUCCUUGGUACUUCGGAAGGUUUGAGAUAAGAGGGACGACUGACGGAUCGCAUUAGGUUUUAUUAUUUUUAUUUUGUUUAGGUUCGGAAGAACCUUUAUUUGCCGAAGUGGCUACGGUGAAAUUUCUUUUUAAACAGCACUAAGGAUUUACACAUGGUUGCACAAAGUCAACCCAUGAUUGAUAGAGGCAUUGAAGUUGGCAUACUUCGACAUGAUAUAUAAUGAGGGUCGAUAGGGUCAUGUGCUAAACAGGCACACCAGUUCUAGGCAUCUCGAGUUUCGCCCCGUGUAUCCCUGUCGCGGAUACUUGGACCGGUAGAGUCGCCGCGAAACUAUAGAGGGUCCUGAGUGUUUCUGAAUAGGGUACCUUUCAUGAAUGGAUUCUCACGAGGCCUUUCUAUAAUCGCCUAACAUAUACUAGCCAUGUAUAAUUAAGGUGGGGAGGACUGUUGACUGAGCGACUCCGCCUUAAAUCCACAACCAAACGAGUAACAGGAAAUGAGGCGGCAUUCACUCACUCUAGGUCUAUCCAUCUCAAUUAUACAUGGCCGUAACGUAUCUAGCCAUUAUAGUUUUACCUGAUGAAAUUUUAAAUUUUAUAAUAGUGCUGCGACUUUCGCCUUAAUGGGGAAGUAUUUACAUUUAUAAUUAGCCUUUUAAUGUUUUCGGUUAGUUAUCUGAGAUUGAGAGACGUACCAAAAAUCUACAGGGUUCCUUGAUGCUUCUCCCCAAGCAUUAGAUUUAGACUCCUCCUGUGUCCUUGUCGUUUCUUUCAGUUGGGCAAUCUCACUUGAGGUGCCCAAUCUCACCACAUAGGUGGCACACUGGAUUGAUCAUCACAUUGGUGGUUGAUGUAAUAAACUCAACCGGGGUUCUGCAGAUGCGAGCAGUAUGCCCCUUCAUGUUGCACCUAGUACAACAGAGUUCCCGGCAUACACCAUGAUGAUGGUAGCUACACUUACUGCAAUGGGGGAGGUUUCCUAGGUAGGGUCUCCUUGAAGUCGGGAUGGAAGGGUUGACAGGGGUAUUGGCUUUCUCAGCUCGUUGCCCUUCGAAAGGUCCUUGAGCCAAGGUACUUCCUUCCUCGUUCUUGAGCUUUCUCUUUACUGGAGCUGGCUGAGGUUCUUGGGUGGUUGGGUAUGUAGGUGUUGGUUGUCGGUGUCCAUUGCUAGGAUCGGAAUUUCCGAUAGGGCUCUUGCUAACAUUGGCGUUGUUAGCAUUCAGAUGAGCCAUGACAGCUGCUACGGCUGGCGAGACUGCCGCCUGGGACNAUCGAAUAGGAGAGUAGGUUUCUUGCCAGUGGAUUGGUUACGCUCCUUCGGAGGCAUGGUUUUCCUAUGAGAGACGAUGGUUAACCCUUAGACGUAUCAAUCCUUACUAUAUUAGCCAUAAAUUUUUCCCGUGCCUCGGAUAUUGGUUGUCUGAGUGUCGACCUACAUCCUUAUGAUAUAGUCUGGGUAUUCAAGGUAGGAGUAUGAGUUUUGCAAAAGCCAUAAGAUGGGAUUCGUUCCUACUAAGUUACCUUUAUACUGGGAAAGGUUUCACUCUCCGGCUUGGAGAGAUCUGAGAACAGUUCAGAACGUAGACCGCGGGAAGAAAGGCUCAUGAAGACUUAUGGCUAAACAACCUUAAUAGAGGUGUGGGGAUCCGCUCUAAUCGUAUUAAUUGCAAUGGGAAAAGGCGAUUUUCCUAACACAUAACGUGAGUAGUGUAAUCACUAACUCACUAAAUUGUAUUAUUUUAUGGGUGUAUUAGCGUGACGAACACGAGGAAAAGCCACUUCUUGGGUUCCAUGUAAUGGCUCCCUCUGUCUACCUCGUAUCUUUGACUGGGACAGGCGUUGGUUUCCUUCGGGUAGUUACCUAGGUUUCUCUUCUCCUAUAGACAUAUUGAAUUUGUACUCCGCCUUACUCCCGAUUCUGACUUUGAGUGUCAUCGCUUCAGGAUGGAUGAUUGGAAUUCUAGGAAGUUUAGGCGAAUUUCUCACCAUGUCCCUAAAAAGAUAUGGGCACUCGGUGAUUUCAAUAGUAUCGAACUAGUUCAUUUAUUUCCGAACUGGAAAUCUUCUCAAUGAACCUCUUCUGGGUCUGAAUCAACUCUUCUGCCGAGUACUGAAGUGGAUAGGGUUUUCUACAGGGUUCGUGCGAGAAUGGAAAUGUCUAAAGAAUCCUAAGAGAUUAUUAACAUUUCACUAGGUGAUCCAUAUCGAGUCCUGCUACGAUUACAUAGGGUAUACAAAUCAUAUAUAGCUUAGAUCCGAUAGGCCUUCGAAUAUGUGAUACUACUCUAUAUCCACAUCCCAACGAGGAAAAGGAAGUAGAGCGAAACCACACAUUCUUAGCCUAUGGGAUCCUUAUUAUAUAUAACCUUGGGAGUAUACCCUCUGUAAUUGUAGGUAUAUCAAUAAGGAUCUUUUUAGUUCUUCACACAAGGUUAUCUAUGGAUCCUAAAAUACCCCUAUGGUAUUUUAAUUUCUUGUUUGUUUCUUAUCUUCUGAAUAUGAUUCUGGGAUUAAUGUGAGUCUUUUAGUAUUCCAAAAUACUCCCAUAGUAUUUUAAACUUUAUGUUUGGCUCUAGCAUUCCUAGUUGGUAAGUUUCAGACCUGUUGCAACACCACUAUCACUCCCAAGCACACGUUCAUCGCAUCUCGAAUAAAUUUAGUUGAUCAGGUUACAUUUAUUCCAGCUUACGAUUACAUAACUGCCCAGGUUUGACGGUAAUGCUCAACAUCCGAAGACUUUUAUUCUUGUUCUUCUUGUGAUACUUGUGUUCGAGUGUUUAGAUUCUGGAUGUUCUUAUACUUUGGUAAAAUAUGGUUAUAUUUUAAAGUAUAAUUCUUGGUCAGAGUGUUUUAUCCCUAUGUAUUUAUAGGUUGUAUAUCUUUUAUGAAUUGAUAUACUUAGCUCACUAUAAACAAUGCUCUGAUACCAAUCUGUCACACCCCAAAACCGGAACGGCGGAAACGUUCUGGGGUGGAUGAUGUCAUGUCAAGUAUCACAACCUAUGUGGUAUAGUAAUAAAAGUACAACAACCAUUUCAUUAAUAGCAAUAGUUUUACAUAAGUUACAUUACAUAGAGACAUCAAAAUAAUACAAGUAAUAAUAUAGGUGCAGCUUGGUACAAGGUUGUCUCCACAAAAGCUCCUGGGUGUACCUGUCUAUUACUGACCUGAGAAUACAAGUUAUUUUGAAAGCAGUAUCAGCAUUUUUAUAAAUGCUGGUGAGUUCAUAAGUAUUUAGUGUCAUUUGUGUAAGUAAUCAUUUUAUUCAAAAUAACUUUAUAAAACUAGUAGUUUAGAAUCAACGGUGUAUUAGAGUCCUUUCCAGAAAAUCCUAUAUUUUCUAAAUGAAAGCAGUCUUCUACCAAGACUCGACACAGUUAUGUUUUAAAGAGUAAUUUUCCCUGAAAUACUAUCGUUACCAAAAUACGAUAUUUGAUUUUUAAGAAAGUAGGAGAAUAUCACGAGUAAAAACAUUAGGGAAAAUAACAUAUGCCUCAGUAGAGAAAACUGUUGACUAAGGCAAAAGAAAUCAUAGACUCCAGGAGAGUAUCAAAUGAAUGAUACACCAGGCUCAGUCUAACAAAAGGGAAUAUAGACCCCAAACGCUAUCAAAUGUACGAUACGGCUAGCAAGGUCUAAAACAAAGAAGCACAGACCCCAGACAGUAUCAAAUGAAAGAUACAGCUAGCAAGGUCUAAAACAAGGAAACGCAGACCCCAGACAGUAUCAAAUGAAAGAU